CACUUUCUUGAGUUUUUGUCAAAAAUCUUUCCAAAAAUAAUUUGAUUGAGUCAAGAAGGGGAUUAUGAACUAAUGAUUUCUACUUGAAUGUCUAACCACUUCCUAGCACCAUUCUAGAUUUACUGACUGCAGAUAAUACUAUAGAUGCUAAAGUGGAUCAACCAGUCAACUAUACACACUUGCUAGCUUGUUAGAAAGAACCGAAGCUAACCUCCAACACUAACCUGACUUCACUGCUUGUGUUGGGGCUUGGUAUACAUGGGAUCGGAUUCUUCAGACAAGUCUGGAAGGUAAAGCCUUGUGUAGAAUUAUAUAUCACAUUCCUCUCUCCAAUUUUGACCCUAGAAUUGUUACUCAAAAAGAAAAAAAAAUGAAAUAAAAUAAGAUCUAUUGUUUAAUUAGGAUGAGUCUGAACAUGACUUGGUGGCUAAAACCAUUAAGGUUUGAUUCAUAAAAGACUCCAAUAAAAGAGUUCGAAACGGGACUUGGAGGCGGCAAUCUUCAAGGCUCGCUUUCGCAAAGAACUCUUGGAUAUAGGUCAAAAAGAACUGAACAGAGCUUGGUGGCAACCAACAUUAAGUUUUGAUUCAUGGAAGCCUGUCCAAUCUUGGUCACUGAUCCUGCAAUGGAAGUGGACUUUGACUCAAGAGAGAAAUUAGAGAGAGAGAAAUUAGGAACUAACUUUUACCUGCAGUUCCAGAUACUUGUCUGAAAUCCUUGCAUCCUAUGAUCGAUACUCCCAAGGUAAAGCUUACACUUUUUACAUUGAGAAAUGAGGUAGAUUGAGGAGAUUUAUAAUAAGAUUAGUUAAGAUUGUUGGCUAGAUGACUUUGGUUGCUAAGCUAGGAUAUUGCAUAAUGUAUUUCUGUAAGAAUGAACUUUUAGAUGUGGAAUGAAAUAUUAUAGAGGUGAUAAUUUUAAUGUUUCAAAUAUGUGAGUCCCUGAUGUUUUCAACCCUCUUCCAGAGAGACUGUCCGUUGGUUUGACUUAAGGACAAGUCAAAAGAUAAGUCUGGGGGAGUUGAUAUACCAUGAUUUUCACCCGUUUUUAUACAUGGUAUAUAAAGGUUUUAAGAUGUAUUAAUCAUGUUUUAGAGUCUUUUCAAAGCACUUACAGGUUUAUUCACCUGAUGGAAGGAAAUGAUACUUUUGGGACAUUUUGGAAUACUUUUACCCAAGGAAAAUCGAUCGAUGCUUGAAGAGCAACAUCGGUCGAUCAUAGUCACUUACCAUCGAUCGGCAAACAUACAUGUGCACCGAUCGAUGCCCAGUUACACGAAUGAGAUCGCGAAUUAAAAGAUUUCAUUUCCCAGAAGAUCUAUUAUUUGUAACUUAAGUCCCUAGCCGCUUGUUAGGCUAUAUGUACUAGGGUUUUGUAUCAUUUUAGGUAGACACUUGCAAAAGACCUAGUUUGGAGAAUGAGCAUUUUGGCUACCAUUAGAAGAGCUUAGGAUUUGGAGAGAUAGAUCUGAGACUGCAAAACAGAGAAGAUCUUGAACUCCUUUAUUUAUAAUACUCCAUCUAUUUGUAUUCUAUGUUUCAUUUGAGUUUAUUUCAUGCCAUCAUGACUUUGUCUCUCAUGAAUAUGUUUGAGUAAACCAAUUGUUAGAUUUAGGUUUCUCACCAUGGUUGAAAUUAUGUACUGCUAAUAUGACUAUUAAAAAGGUGUUUUGAUUGUUCUUUCAUUGCUUAUGAACUUAAUGCUAAAAUUGAGAUUGAUCACCUUCAUUUUAGAUCUUAGGAUUAAUUGAGUCUAACUAACACUUUCCCCUCAAUACCUGAACCCAUUUGCGUGAUCUAACUAACUCAGGCGCAACGACAGUUGGUCUGAGAAGAUUAGAGAACAAAUUAAACCCUUUCGCAAGGCUCGCUAGAAUAACCAUCGAUCGACGCAAGUAUCGUUCUGUCGAUCGAUCGUUACAAAGGUGUAUCGGUCGAUGUUCAUCAAGUCACAUCGAUCGACACUCUCUCGUGAUUAAAAUACGAUAGUUGAGAUCCAAGAUCUAGCGAAGAUAACCUAUCCGGUUAAAUCAUUGUUUAGUUCAAAAACCAUCAAACCCUUUAGUCUAAACUAAGUGCAUACCUUUCAUACCUGAGAUUUACCUGAAUCUAGCUGCUUUCCCAUUCUUGAAACCACUUCAAUUCAAUCUAUUGCAUUUAAAACUAUUAAAACCUUUUAGUCUAUCUUCAUUUCUAAUUAUUUAAGUCUGUUGAGUAAUCCUAGAGUCUCUGUGGAUUUGAUCCCUAAGUACUACAUCUGAACCUCUUUUGAUGAAAGUAACACUCUUUAGAGUAAUUUGAGUGAUUUCAAAUUUCUAUUACUCUAUCUAUCUGUGUUCUAUGUUUCAUUUAAGUUUAUUUCACACCAUCAUGACUUUGUCUCUUAUGAAUAUGUUUGAGUAAACCAAUUGUUAGAUUUAGGUUUUUCAUCAUGACUUUGUCUCUCAUGAUAGGUUUCUCGUCCAGCAAAACAACCGCUCGCAUCGAUCGACACCCACAUAGGAACGUCGAUCGAUAUUCGCGCCGCAGCGAAAAUUCAAAAGCAGGAGAAUAUUUCCUCUCCAACUAGGUUUAGAGAUACCUAUAUAAAACGUUUUGCACCCCCGAAACCACCUACAAACACCAAAGCAGACACAUAAGCAAAAAAGAUGAACACUCUUCCAUCUACAUCAACAGGAAAAUCCAUGAAGAGCAAUCAUCUCAAGAACACAAAUUCUGCAGAAAUUACUCUGCCAUCGAUCGAUGCAUCUGUAUCUACAUCGAUCAAUACUACUCUAAACCCUAAUCUUUCUAUUUCUAAAUUGACUGAUUCUGCAAACAUUGAUUACGGUUUUCUAACACCUGAUGAAUUUGGUAUUUUCAGGGACACGGAUAGCAACGCACGUACAAUGGAUGGAAGGAUCUUACAAGUGUCCAGAGAGGACAUAGCAGAUAUCCUUCAAGUAGCCAAUGGACCUGACAACCUAUUCUCACAGCAACGUGGCACUCCAGACGUCAUACAAACAGAUCCUAACAACCACGUAGGAGUCGCCACAACAGAAAUCAAUCCAGAUCUAUCACACCAACCAAAAGGGCAAGCAUCGGUCGACGGAACAACUGAGACAUCGAUCGACAGGGUAACACCAACGUCGAUCGAUAGGGAUGAACCGACGUCGAUCGACAGACGUUAUGAAUUUGGGAACCGCGCUUUUGACAUGUACGGAGCCAGACAGUUCACUUAAGAACAAAGGGACGAGUAUGGAGUCUACAAAGAUGAGUGUGGACACGCACGAGGCGUAGCUGGUGAGAUGAUACCUGUCACAAAGGACAACAUCAUGAAAUUACUGGAAAGAGCAUCUCUUUUUGAAGAGAGCCACAUCUGUCUUCCGGAACAUGCCACUUCCUUCACACUCACAAGACUGGCACCAGAAAUCUACACCAAAGAUGAAAUCGAUGAGAUGGUGUUUGGUAUUUGUGGAGCUCAGGAGAAACUGGGAGAGGAGCUCAAAUCAUUGGUAGAAGAUACACAUCAACCUUUGGAUAGAGGCUACAAUGAGCUUUUCAGAAGUAUGGCAGAAAUGAAGGCAGAAAUUGAGAGUUUACGUCAGCAACUUAAGAAGGAAACCACGACAUUAGCAUCGAUCGACGCACCACAUGCACCAUCGAUCGACGUCAGUCUUCCUACAGCCCAAAUCCCUAUAGAACCGCAAUGUUCAGCACAACACAAGGAUGAAUGGAAAGUCUCAUACAUCGACACAAGGAUAAACGACGUGUACUACCCUCUCAACAACAACGUGGACUGGCUAAGCACUAAAAUCGAGCUAUUACAGCAAGAUCUAGACACCAUUCGCAAGAAGGACCAACAACCAGCCACAUCGAUCGACGUGUAUACCAUCACAUCGCUCGACGCUAAGGUCUCAACCAUGAAUGAGAGGCUGAGGACUUACGAGGACAUGCAUGACCACUUUAUAUCACCAGUCUUGAUAGAUUUAAACAAAUUGUCUAGUCAAAUACUUCAUGCCCAAAGGGAUAUUGAUAACAUCACUAAUCAAAGUUUUUUGCAGGCAAAAUCAGUAUCGAUCGACAGGCUACGAGGGCCUUGGAUCGAUGGCAAGAAUCCUGUGGAGUUACUUCCUUACACAGCAGCAGAGGUUGACAAGAUCACAUCCAAGAUCUACACUGCAAUAGACACUAUGGAGGAAUGACUUGACAAACGCUGCGAUGACAUCUACUUUUCAUUCGACAACCAAAUCAGUGGACUAGACAGCCACGCAGAAUGGCUACAGAAAGAAGUCAAAGCCAUUCAGAGGCAACUCGCAGCUAAGCACCAGAUGUCAUGUUGGGGUCAAAAUCGGUCACGGCGGAAUCAAUGUCUGAAAGUCCGUAAAAAUCAGCAUAAACGUUUUUACGAAAAGUAAUCUUCGUAAAGAUAUCUUUACGAAGAGCCUUGCAGUAAAAUCUCGUCUAAAUCUCAAUCGAACCACUAAAUACCGAUUGUCCGAAGGCAACAGACAUGUAUCCAAAUCGGCCGCGGACAAGCUCGAGUAUGGAAAUCAGACCGCGGAUAAGCCAAGCUCAAUCGGUACGCGGCGACCAAGCAUGCACACAGCUCGGUCGCUACAUAGGGACCGAGCCCGAGCCAAGCUCGGUCGCUACGUAGCGACCAAGCGUCCGUCUCGCUCGGUCGCUACGUAGCGACCAAGCCUGAGCCAAGCUCGGUCGCUACGUAGCGACCGGGCUCGAGCAAAAGUUCGGUCGCUGCGUAGCAACCGAGCUCUUCCGAACAUCGGUAUGACACCAGUCCAUGCAUUCUCGUCAAACCUUCAAAUGCUAUCUCCCGAAGACCGUAGCGAGCUCAGUCUAUGUUCUUCGCUAUUCUAAAUCAUCGAUCAAACUUCGCGGAUUAGAAACCGCGGAAAGUUCUUUCUUUGUCGAAAGAAAUCGUAGUAAACUCUUCGAGUCGGAAGACGGCCCAAAGGGACCUAAAACACGACUCGAGGCCCAUCCUGCGAUUUCUUAACCAAAAGCCCGUAAACCACAGCCCGUUUUACGCUUGGUCCACAAGGAAGGAUAAAUGUCAAGUUUCCGCGGAUAAAUACGGAAGUUUUGAAGAUAAUUGUGAAAAUCGGGAAAAAUGGAAUAUCUCCAUUUUUAUGCUAUGACGGCUUAAGGGCAGAAGAGUAAAAGCGUAAACCGACCUUGGAGCUAGUAUAUAAGGAGUCCUAGGCGAGGAGCAUAAGGGAGAGAUUUUUAGACUCGGAAUUCUCUGCACUUAGAAACUUUAGGCUUUAUUCUCGACAAGUUCGGUUUCUAUGACUGGCACUCGACUACUAGACGAACUCGCCCAGGCCGUUCGAUCUUUUGUCCAGCUCUAUCAAUUGAACUACGUUCGGCUUGAUCCUCGAAUGGGGUACGUAGGCAGCCUUUAAAAAGGUUCAGUCCGAAAUCAAUCAAAAAACCUUUUCUUUAUCUAUUUCGUCUUUCGUUAUCAAGCUGCGACUCAACUAGGUUUGAGCUAUUAGGCCGCUAGAACUAAGUAACUCGCUGACAGCCUUUGCGGCCAAAGGUUUCAUGAUCUCUUGUAAUGAUCGCAACGCUCUUACUCGGACUCGAAAUAAGAUCAACUAUUUUCCCUAAACUCGUUUGUUAUCUUUUCAUAAUUUCUGCAUAUAUUUGGUCACUUGUCGUUGGCUCCCGCAGAGAUCCAGGACCUCUGUUAAAUUAGGGUUUUCCUAGUUUCCUUAUUUAAACAGAAAUCGACAGUGCGAAUUUCGGUUCCCACAGUUUGGCGCUAGAAGGAGGGGAGGUAACGGAUUACUCUUACUCAUGGCCACAAAACGCUACGUAGCGACAGAGCACGCACACCGCUCGGUCGCUAUGUAGCGACCGAGCACGCACACUGCUCGGUCGCUACGUAGCGACCGAGCUCAAGCCAACUCUUCCCUCGCUACGUAGCGACCGGUAAGGCCUCAGAAAGGUCCUCCUUUGGGUUCUAUUGCAAAUCCUCAUCACCACGCUUUUCGUUUCGUUUCAAUCAGAGUUUCCGUUGAGAUUUUACGACGAAAACAAGUAGGACUCUUCUUGGCUUGCUUCCACUCGCUACGUAGCGACCUGUCAGACCGUCAGUCACUACGUAGCGACAUGUCAGGCUUCAAAGGGGUCCUCCUUUGCGUUCUCCUUUCAAUCCUCAUCGAAACGCUUUUUGUAUCGUCUCAAUCGGAGUUUCCGUUGAGAUUUUACGACGAAAACAAGUAGGACUCUUCUUGGCUUGCUUCCACUCGCUACGUAGCGGCCUGUCAGACCGUCAGUCGCUACGUCGUUACCUGUCAGGCCUCAAAGGGGUCCUCCUUUGCGUUCUCUUUUGAAUCCUCAUCGAAACGCUUUUCGUUUCGUCUCAAUCGGAGUUUCCGUUGAGAUUUUACGACGAAAACAAGUAGGACUCUUCUUGGCUUGCUUCCACUCGCUACGUAGCGACCUGUCAGACCGUCAGUCGAUACGUAGCGAUCUGUCAGGCCUCAAAGGGGUCCUCCUUUACGUUCUCCUUUGAAUCCUCAUCGAAACGCUUUUCGUUUCGUCUCAAUCGGAGUUUCCGUUGAGAUUUUACGACGAAAACAAGUAGGACUCUUCUUGGCUUGCUUCCACUCGCUACGUAGCGACCUGUCAGACCGUCAGUCGCUACGUAGCGACCUGUCAGGGCUCAAAGGGGUCCUCCUUUGCGUUCUUCUUUGAAUCCUCAUCGAAACGCUUUUCGUUUCGUCUCAAUCGGAGUUUCCGUUGAGAUUUUACGACGAAAACAAGUAGGACUCUUCUUGGCUUGCUUCCACUCGCUACGUAGCGACCUGUCAGACCGUCUGUCGCUACGUAGCGACCUGUCAGGCCUCAAAGGGGUCCUCCUUUGCGUUCUCCUUUGAAUUCUCAUCGAAACGCUUUUCGUUUCGUCUCAAUCGGAGAUUCCGUUGAGAUUUUACGACAAAAACAAGUAAAACUCAUCUUAAACUUCUUGGCUUGUUUCUGCUCACCCUACCUCCAUCUUUGCGUUCACUUUCGAAUCUCGAUCAAAACAUCUCUUAUUUCGCCUCGAUUGAAGAUGAUGUCCUCACUCGCUAUAGCGACCGAGAUGACGUCCUCACUCGCUAUAGCGACUUGUCAGGCCUUUGAAGUUACCAUUGAGACUUUAUGAUAUAAAAAAAAAACCGCAAAGACCUAUUUUCUCGCAUGGAUUCAGAUUAAUCGUAUAAAACGGCGACGGUUAACUUAACACCUUAGCCGCCUUAACUAUACGAUUAUGUUGAACCUUUUUACAAAAAUCGACGUCUUAUCUAAGGAGAAGACAACAGUCAAGUUCGGAAGAUAAAUGUCUAGUUUCAAAGGAUAAACAUCAAUAUCGGAAAUGGCGAACAUACACGAGAAUAGGAAACGGAAAUGAGCACGCAAAACUGAGAAGGAACAAAACUGCAUCUUUGAGAUAACUAAGGUAUUUCCGACUUGAAAUUUUUGAAAUCAGACUUGGAAUUUUCGUAGGAAAUUACUUUGAGGCUGCCAUAGAACUUUAGGGAACGUAAAACCUAGGCGGAUAGUCUAGCGAACUAAGUUUUAAGCGAUUUUUCAUGUCUCGAUAUAUUGUUCCAUAAUUGUUCAUCCAGAUCUUGCAAACCGAUCUAAACUCUCCGAUAGUCGAGAAACGAUCGCCACGCAUAUCAAGCUCGCUUCCUAAAAAGAGAAAAAGUUAGAGACAUGAACGUCGUCUUGAAACCGAUUCGUUUCUGGCAAUUUUCUCGACACCGACAUAUCCCAAGUCGUCAACGUGGAAACAACCAAAUCACAGUCCAAGCGUCGUCUAUAAAUCGUCCCGAAUUAUCGAUCAUUCCAAACAUCAGAAGAGGAAACGUACACAACCCUUCAAAGUAUCGGUUCAACCGUUUUCUUUCGUAAAAAAAAAGGGGGGAGUAGGUACGUAUACUAUACUCGUAUACUCCCAAACCUCAAAAAACUUCUGCAAAUCGUCAAGAAUAGGCAAACGACAAUCUUAAUAUUCGUCUAAACGCUAGCAACAUAUCCAGACGAUCGUGAACAUAAUCUCAAAAACUAUACAUCAUUUCUUGUCGCAAUCAUGCGUACAGAAAACUUGUACCAAUAUCAAACUGAAUCUCGACGAUUAGCCAAAGUAUUGAAUCCUUUUCCGGCUUCAGAAAGCCAGUUUCGUUUUAAAAAUUUAUACGAGAAAUCUUCAAUCACCAAAGCAUUUCUUUCAGUUUCCGUUGUACCAAGUAAGUCACGGAAAAACAUCGAAAACAUUUGCAACGAAGAAAACUCGAGAAUAUAUGUAGCAUCUUGCACAUUAAAAGGAGCACUUUCCUCCCGAUGGUUAGCUAGAUCCACUUCUGGUUGACCAAUUCGUUCAAGAAACGAAUGUGUCAUGAGAAUCCUCUCGAAAACCUAUGAAAAACGUUCCGCGACUAUAUCGUAUUGAAAUAAACUUCGGUAAUACUCCAAGGGUAACUCCAAGCAACUUUCACCUAAGAUCAAAAUCACAGCGGGAACGUUUCUCGUAGAACCUGCAGAAACAAUGCUACUUUGACAUAUGUAUACAUAUCACUGAUUUACGACCUUUGUAAAAUCGGUUAUAUGAUAUGAUAAAUUAUCGUAUAGCCCACAGUCGGAAAUCAUAUGAUAAAUUCUUCGUAACGAAACUAAGUCCUAACAACCAAACGGUUAACGGAAAAUCUAAACUUUUCGAAAAUUGACCAAGUUCAAUACGCUCCACAAUUCACUUUAAGCCCGCAACGUUUUAACCAUAAUACGCGGCAUGUUAGGAAAAAUUCGUAACAAAGCUUCUAGAGCUAUACGAAACAUCCUAAAAAAUGCACGAAAUAUAUCUCGGAAGGCCAAUACUUCACAAAGCACUAUGAAGGAAAAUGCUUGUUCCCAUGAACAAAUAAUUCCUCGAUCGCAAAUAAAACUAUUAGCAUCCAAACAUGAACAACAAUUUUGGCUGCGAACAUUCGUAGUCAAACUAGAAUGUUUUUCAAACGCAUGGCUAAGACUAAACCCUUGCAACAUCGCGAAAUAUCUUCAAGCCCGCGAACAUUUCAAGCACGAAACGUGGCAUACGAAAGAAUAACAAAUCUUCAGCAUCGCGAGACGUCGCAGACGCCUGAAGAUUAGUUCUUCGACGAAAUUUCCUUCCUCGAUAAAAACACCUUCAUGGAAGACCAAACAGUCAUACGCACUAACAUCUUCUCAAAAAAUAUUCUUCGCGAAGACUCGAAACGGUAUUUUUUACCAUUAAGUUUGUUGCUGAUCACAACAAACUCUCAACGUCCUAAACAGACAUAGCCAUCUCACGAAGAUGACUCUCUUACAUCCGACACAAGGAUAAUAGCGCUAUAAAAGAAAUCCGAAAUUUUGGUCCAGCACUUCCGGUCUCCGGAGAGAUGCUCGAUUCGUAUCAAACAAGUCGUAUAAGCCGAGAACCUAUCGCGGACUUUAAAUCGAUACGAAUCAGGAAGAAAUCGCAACAGGAAAAACGAUAGCCGGCCAGUCACCGCACAAUCCUUAAACCGAAAGUAAACCUAGGUCUUGCCCUAAACCCAGCGCACUGGUCUCUAACAUCUCUAGGCAUAGUAUCAAACACCCUGAUACGAGAUCCCAAAAUUUGUCUCUUUGCCAAUAUUCGAACGUCUUCAGAAAAUCCCGCAAGUUUACACACUGCAGAAAACUCUCGAAACAGAUUAUGGAUAUGGCAAUUCACACAGAGUUAGAUUACGAGACGACAACUCGUAGUCUUCCCUCUACACCCAUACAAAAUGCCAUCGGCAGCAACACGCCUUAUAACCGCUACAUAAAAACUAGACCAUAAAGGUCCUACUGGAAAACUAAUCAUAAGAUCCUUAACUCCAAGACGAACUACGAAAGGCUUGAUCCCUUCAACAAGGGUACGUAGGCAGCCGUCAUAAGGCGCAGCCCCAAUCUUAUCGCGUUUUCUACUUUUAGGAGAGCGAGAAGAUCACUUACCACAGACCUUUUCAACCAUUAAUUCCGCCUAACUCACCUAACUUGCCUAACCUGCCAAGCCACUCGCUAGAACCUCACGCUAGAAGCUCAUGGUUCUAACGAGCUGGGGGGCUAACUGUUGGGGUCAAAAUCGGUCACGACGGAAUCAAUGUUUGAAAGUCCGUAAAAAUCAGCAUAAACGUUUUUACGAAAAGUAAUCUUCGUAAAGAUAUCUUUACGAAGAGCCUUGCAGUAAAAUCUCGUCUAAAUCUCAAUCGAACCACUAAAUACCGAUUGUCCGAAGGCAACGGACAUGUAUCCAAAUCGGCCGCGGACAAGCUCGAGUAUGGAAAUCAGACCGCAGACAAGCCAAGCUCGAUCGGUACGCGGCGACCAAGCAUGCACACAGCUCGGUCGCUACAUAGCGACCGAGCCCGAGCCAAGCUCGGUCGCUACGUAGCGACCAAGCGUCCGUCUCGCUCGGUCGCUACGUAGCAACCGAGCCCGAGCCAAGCUCGGUCGCUACGUAGCGACCAAGCCUGAGCCAAGCUCGGUCGCUACGUAGCGACCGAGCGUCCGUCUCGCUCGGUCGCUACGUAGCGACCGAGCAUCCGUCUCGCUCGGUCGCUACGUAGCGACCGGGCUCGAGCCAAAGUUCGGUCGCUGCGUAGCGACCGAGCUCUUCCGAACAUCGGUAUGACACCAGUCCAUGCAUUCUCGUCAAACCUUCAAAUGCUAUCUCCCGAAGACCGUAGCGAGCUCAGUCUAUGUUUUCCGCUAUUCUAAAUCAUCGAUCAAACUUCGCGGAUUAGAAACCGCGGAAAGUUCUUUCUUUGUUGAAAGAAAUCGUAGUAAACUCUUCGAGUCGGAAGACGGCCCAAAGGGACCUAAAACACGACUCGAGGCCCAUCCUGCGAUUUCUUAACCAAAAGCCCGUAAACCACAGCCCGUUUUACGCUAGGUCCACAAGGAAGGAUAAAUGUCAAGUUUCCGCGGAUAAAUACGGAAGUUUUGAAGAUAAUUGUGAAAAUCGGGAAAAAUGGAAUAUCUCCAUUUUUAUGCUAUGACGCUUAAGGGCAGAAGAGUAAAAGCGUAAACCGACCUUGGAGCUAGUAUAUAAGGAGUCCUAGGCGAGGAGCAUAAGGGAGAGCUUUUUAGACUCGGAAUUCUCUGCACUUAGAAACUUUAGGCUUUAUUCUCGACAAGUUCGGUUUCUAUGACUGGCACUCGACUACUAGACGAACUCGCCCAGGCAGUUCGAUCUCUUGUCCAGCUCUAUCAAUUGAACUACGUUCGGCUUGAUCCUCGAAAGGGGUACGUAGGCAGCCUUUAACAAGGUUCAGUCCGAAAUCAAUCAAAAAACCUUUUCUUUAUCUAUUUCGUCUUUCGUUAUCGAGCUGCGACUCAACUAGGUUUGAGCUAUUAGGCCGCUAGAACUAAGUAACUCGCUGACAGCCUUUGCGGCCAAAGGUUUCAUGAUCUCUUGUAAUGAUCGCAACGCUCUUACGCGGACUCGAAAUAAGAUCAACUGUUUUCCCUAAACUCGUUUAUUAUCUUUUCAUAAUUUCCGCAUAUAUUUGGUCACUUGUCGUUGGCUCCCGCAGAGAUCCGGGACCUCUGGGAAAUUAGGGUUUUCCUAGUUUCCUUAUUUAAACAGAAAUCGACAGUGCGAAUUUCGGUUCCCACAAGCAUCGAUCGAUAGGACACGAGCGAAAUCGAUCGAUGGCAACUCGCAGAGAUCGACCAACGAACACCUAAUCGCAUCGAUCGACGCCGAGUCUACACCAAUCGGCGAGCAGCUGAUACACAAGACGAUAGAGUCAAUGCAAAAGGAACUGACAGAACUUUCAGCAUACGCCUAUGACAACAUAGGCUGGCACCAGGUCAGCAUUGACAACGUUCAAGAAAGGCUACAGAACAUCUCCAAUGUACUUGAGAAGAUGGAUAACAAAUGCACAAGAAAUGAUGAGGCCACAAGAAGUUUCAUUGCAUCUUGGUCCAGAAUGUGCAGAGAUGACGUGGAUGCUUGCUUUCCAACAAGCAGCUGUUUCUCCACCCAAUAGCCAAUCAAUACCACAGUCAAUCUAAAUGACUAUAACCAAGCGCUGAGUGGGAGGCAACCCACUACUAGGUAUUUUAUUUUUGUUUUAUUAGCUAGCAUUUAUUUACUUUCGUUUUAUUUCUUUCAGAUUUAGGAGACCCAAGUAGGAGGACCUGAAUAUCGACCGCCGACGAGACGUUGACAUCGCUUGACAUGGACAACCACACGAAGAUCGAUGUAACACGUACCCAUCGAUCAAUAUCUAAUCCGGUCAGAUGUAUCUUCCUUACUUGUUACAUUUCGUACAUCAUGAACUAUUUCAUCAUAACUCCGGCUGAGUUACACUGGGACAGUGUAAUUUAAUAAAGAGAUUCAGAGAAGAGAAUAGGGAGAAGAAAGGAAUCAUAUGAAACUACCUACUUGCUUGAGUUGAGUCCAUGUGUUCCUUGAUCGAUACUCCCAAGGUAAAGCCUGCACUUUUAUUUUAUGCAAGAAAUGAGGUUAGUAGAGGGGAUUGUCAGACGGGAUCUGUUGAGUUGUUGACUAGUUGAAUUUGGUUGCUAUACUAGGAUAUUGUAUAAUGUGCUUCUAAAGUUAGGAUGUCUAUGAUUUGGUUUGCACUACUAGAAAGAUGAUGACUGAGUUUUAAAAUCUUUUGUGUCCUUGCUGUUUUUAAACCUCUUUCAAAGAGACUGCCUGUUAGUUUUGCUUGAGGACAAGCAAAAGGGUAAGUCUGGGGGAGUUGAUAGACCAUAUAUUUUACCCAUUUUUAAUCAUGGUCUAUAAGUUUUUUAAAGUGUUUUAAGAUACAAUCAUUAUGUUUUGGAGUCUAUUUAGAGUAUUUACAGGUUCAGGGACGUUUAGGAGAAAUAUGGUAAUUUGGAGUCUUUUGGAGCCUUUGGAGGUGCAAAGUUGCACAGAUGGGUCAGAUGUUUAAUUAUGGAUGGAGACCUACCGACCGUUAGAUUGAGUCCAUAUUUUCAUACAAGAUAUAGCUUUGAGUUAGCUUUCCAAUGCCACCGGUCUCAGGUCAAUCAGCAUCCUGUAGCAGAAGUUAUGCCUGUUUUACUGAAGAGUGGUCAGUCUGCCUCGCGAGAGGAAGCUACCGAGAAGAGGAAGCCACGUCGAUCGAUGCAGCACUCUGCACGUUGAUCGAUGGAGAUCCCAGAUCGUGGGCCUUGCAUAUUUUAUGACUGCGUGAAGCCCAGAAGUAACCACAAAUUACCAGAAUGCCCUUGGACGACCAGAAAUCCUAUUUAUGUUAUUUCUAAGCAAUUGUUGACAGCAACGCUUUUUACACACUUUCUUUGAUUCAUAGUUUUGUUAGGAGAGAAGGGAGGAACUCCUACCAGAGUCCUCCUGGAACUCCUUUGGUUUUAAUAAUCUAUUUCAUUUCAGUUUUAUAUCUAUUCAUCUAUGAUUUCUGUUUUCAUGUGUGAGUAGAUCCACCUGUUAGAUCCAGGGUUCAGAUAGGUUUGUGGGAUUAGCCCCAUACAAUAGACAUGCCUUGUUGUGAUAUUCAUGAUAGAUCUAUACUUAUUGCUUGUUCUAGAGUAAUUAACUAGAAUAUUGAUCAUAGGAUUGCAUACACAAGCAUCCUUGUUAUCCCAUCAUGACAUCUAUCUAUCAGAUCAGGAUUGCUAGAGAGGGCUAACCGCCAAUUUAGCAUCCUAAUAGGACAAAUCAUCUCACGCAUAGGCCUGGCUAGAACCCGUCGAUCGAUGUCCUCAACUGACUAUCGGUCGACGUAGGUAAAGGUGUAUCGGUCGAUGUCCCAAUAGAACCAUCGGUCGACACUCUUUCGUGAUCAAGAUACUAACCGUUGAGACACGAGAUCUAGCGAGUUAACCAGUGAAACAUGCGACAGCUGAUCACUGAGUUAAGCGGUUGAGCUCUAACAUAUCAUGCAUGCAACAAAUAGGUACCUAUAGGAUUUAUAAUCUCCAACACCUGAAUAGAAAGCCCAGAUCUAGCAACCAUCCUUCUAUCGAACAACCCUUGCCAAGCUGAACAAUUGACUUGUUCAGCUUGUUUACUGCUUUGUUUAUUUAAUUGCUAUUUUACUGCUUUAUAAUCUAUUAGCCUAGUUUAUUAUAAAUUGUUUAGAUCUAAUUGGUUCCCUAGCUCCUUGUGGAUUCGAUCCCUAAGUACUAUAACUCGACCUCUUUUGAUGAGAGUAACACUCUUUAGGGUAAUUUGAGUGAUAUCAGCCUACCUCUUAAAAAAAGAACGAUGAACUGAUGAUGUUGAGCCUCGAACUACUCGACGAAAAGAGAGAGGCCCUCGGCUAAGAAACUGGUCCUACCAGCAUGACGCCGCGAGGACAUACAACAAGAAAGUCAGAACAAUGACCUUCCAGCAAGGAGAUUGGGUUCUACGACGAGUAGAAAAAACAACAGGGAACUCACCCCCGGGUGGGAAGGAUCCUAUAAGGCAAUCUAGGUGCGGGGAGCAGGAGCCUACAGGCUACAAGAUAGAAAAGGUAAAAUACAACCCAACUUCUGGAACGCCCUGCCCCUCUGAUAUACUUUGGAAUUGACCCGUUUUCAUCCAUGGUAUAUAGGUGUUUUACUAUAUAUAAAUCUAUGUUUUCUACUCUUCUAGGUAUGUUUUCAGGUUCAGGUGCAUUUCGGAGUAAAGCUAUGACUUUGGAGCAUUUUGGAGCUUAAAGGACAUUUCACCCGAGCUGACCAUGUAGAGGUCGACGAGAGGAAGAACAAUCGAUUGAUGCGCAUCCAAUGCUGUCGAUCGACACCAAGAGAUGCCUCGACAGAUGAAGAUUAAUAUCGAUCGAUGAACACAAGUACCCUCGAUCGAUGUCGAGACAUUGGACACACGACAUUUUGGAUCCAGCGGACUUAAAACCCAAGGCCAAGCCAAAUUACGAAAAUGCCAUGACGAGUUUUUAACCUAGUAGAUUAUAUACUGCCUAAGUGUUUUGACGGCAGAGGAGAGCUUUUUGUUACAGUUUCACUUUGAGAGGGAAGAGAGAGUUUUGGAGAGAAGAUCACUUGUGAUUGGAACUUCUUGUUUUCAUUUCUUUUUGAUAUACCAUGAUUUUCACCCGUUUUUAUACAUGGUAUAUAAAGGUUUUAAGAUGUAUUAAUCAUGUUUUAGAGUCUUUUCAAAGCAAUUACAGGUUUAUUCACCUGAUGGAAGGAAAUGAUACUUUUGGGACAUUUUGGAAUACUUUUACGCAAGGAAAAUCGAUCGACGCUUGAAGAGCAACAUCGGUCGAUCAUAGUCCCUUACCAUCGAUCGUCAAACAUACAUCUGCAUCGAUCGAUGCCCAAUUACACGAAUUAGAUUGCGAAUUAAAAGAUUUCAUUUCCCAUAAAAUCUAUUAUUUGCAACUUAAGUCCCUGGCCGCCUGUUAGGAUAUAUGUACUAGGGUUUUGUAUCAUUUUAGGUAGACACUUGCAAAAGACCUAGUUUGGAGAAGGAGCAUUUUGGCUACCACUAGAAUAGCUUAGGAUUUGGAGAGAUAGAUCUGAGACUGCAAAACAGAGAAGAUCUUGAACUCCUUUAUUUCUAAUACUCCAUCUAUUUGUAUUCUAUGUUUCAUUUGAGUUUAUUUCAUGCCAUCAUGACUUUGUCUCUCAUGAAUAUGUUUGAGUAAACCAAUUGUUAGAUUUAGAUUUCUCACCAUGGUUGAAAUUAUGUACUGCUAAUAUGACUAUUAAAAAGGUGUUUUGAUUGUUUUUUCAUUUGCUUGUGAAGUUAAUGCUAAUAUUCAGAUUGAUCACCUUCAUUUUAGAUCUUAGGAUUAACUGAGUCCAACUAACUGUUUCCCCUCAAUACCUGAACCCACUUGCGUGAUCUAACUAACUCAGGCGCAACGACAGUUGGCUGAGAAGGUUAGAGAACAAGUUAAACCCGUUCGCAAAGCUCGCUAGAAUAACCAUUGAUCGACGCAACUAUCGUUCUGUCGGUUGAUCGUUACAAAGGUGUAUCGGUCGAUGAACAUAAAGUCACAUCGAUCGACACUCUCUCGAGAUUAAAAUACGACAGUUGAGAUCCGAGAUCUAACGAAAAUAACCUAUCCGGUUAAACCAUUGUUUAGUUCAAAAACCAUCAAACCCUUUUGUCUAAACUAAGUGCAUGUAUUUCAUACCUGAGAUUUACCUGAAUCUAGCUGCUUUCACAUUCUUGAAACCACUUCAAUUCAAUCUAUCGUUUCACUAUUGUUUUCUAUUUAUCAUUUACAGCUUUUAAAACUAUUAAAACCUUUUACUACAUCUGAACCUCUUUUGAUGAGAGUAACACUCUUUAGGGUAAUUUGAGUGAUAUCAAAUUUGGUGCCAUUGCCGGGGACUCUUUCUUAUUACCAUUAUAUUUAAUUUAGAAUUUAGUAUAGACUUGUUACGAAAAACUUGCUAAAGUUUUCUUUCUUAACCUGUUACGCAGACACAAAGAAUGGAGAACACAGAGCGCGACCAACCAUCGAUCGACGAAGACACGUUUCCAUCGAGCGACAUUGAGUCAAAAAAAUCGACCGAUACGGAGCUGCCGACAUCGAUCAAUACCGCCCAGCCGGAAGCAGGUAAGUUUUCUCUUACCAAGCCCGCUAAUGAGAAAGUAGUCCAAACUGAACUAAAUGGUCAAACGAGCAAUGAAGCUAGCCAAACUAAACAGGGGACUGAAAUCCCUGUUAAGGAAAAUUCCACCUUAACUAAAGGUGAAGAUAUACAAUUGUCCAUACAAGACUACCUUGAUCCUGGUAAGACCUAUUCCAAUAGGUCCGCUAUCAAAAUACCAGGAGACGAUACCAAGAAAUCUAAGUUUAACGCAGAUUACUACCGUAUGGUUCGUCAAAACCCAUUAUGUGGAUCCCUCCCAGAGCACCCACAAGAUCAUAUUGAAACUUUGGAAGAAUUAAUACCAGAUGAAUAUGAUCGUUGCAAACUAUUCUCAUUCUCCCUUGAAGGAGAAGCCCUCAGAUGGUUAAACUGUUUAGCAGCAGGAUCACUCACUUGUUGGGAAGAGAUUAGAAGUGCCUUCCUUAGAGAAUUUUUCACUGAUGAACGCUACUGGGAAGUAAGAAAGCAAAUUUCUACAUUUCGCCAAGGUCCACGCGAAUCGCUUAAAAACGCCUGGGGACAAUUCAGAGGCUAUGAACUUGAAUGUCCCCAUCAUGGUUAUUCAGAACCACAACUUCUUAACAUCGUUUAUGGAGGUGUUAAUUUGAGCUAUAAAACCACACUCGAUACAGUGAUGGAAAUUUCAUCACUAGGUAUCCCGAAGAAGCUAGACGCCUUAUCAAGAAUAUGACAACGGGAAGAUCCUAUGAAAGGAUGGAUGAAGAGAUAGGAAAUUUCACAAGUCCAAAAGACAAUUCUAAUUUGAUAGAAAUUAAGAAUUCCCUUAAAUCCCUUCAUUCCUUUCUUCAAAACAAACACCGAUCUGAUAUAGCCCAGAUCGACGACAACGCUUUGUCUGACACCGAUGAUUAUUUGGAUGAAGGAACAAACUGUUCCGAUCUCUACGAUGUGCUUAAUGUCGAUAGCUUUACCCAAGCUUAUGACACUACUGCAAAAUCACGUACCGGAAGAGAGAGGUUCAAUAUCAGACAAGCUCUUACUGGCAACCGUAGGACAAAAUCGGAGUUUUACGGAAAAAUAAAUAUGGUUUACGUAGAAUUAAUGGAGAAAGCAGAUUCUUUGGGAGAACUAAUCCGAAAAUUAGAAGGUCAAGUAUCUGAGAUUGCAACUGCCAUAAAAAGAGAUGCCGGAUGUCUUCCCGGGAGAACUGAUUUAAACCCGAGACGUCAAGGCAGUGCCGUAAUGUUGUGCAGCGGGAAGAACCUCGCAGCAGAUACGAGGAAUAACACAGAUGUUGGAAAACCUGACGACACUGACAAGACCGGAAAAAGCAACUCUCAUCUUAUUCUUCUUAACGAUCUUGAUCUAAAUCCAUCUCAAGAGAACCGGAAAACCACCGCUGAAAAGGCUAAGGAAAAGGCAAUAGACUUAGAAUUAGAAGAAGACACGGAGAUUGAAGACGAAAUCGAUCGGCAGUACGGAACUGACGUUGAUCGACCUGAAAGACCUACCAUCGACCAACAACCUGAAAAACCCGUCGAUCGACGGUCUACUCAACCCGAACCCAUAAUUGAAAGAGUCUAUAGAACUCUACCCCCUUUUCCUCCCAAAACGCAAACUAAGAAAUCAUUAGAGAACGCGAUCUGCAAGAAAGCCUUAGAUAAGAUUUCUGUUGAGAUGUCCCUUAGUGAUGCUAUAAAAAUAGCACCUUCAAUUAAGAAGUAUAUAAGGACAUGACAUCUCCAAACUACCCAAUUACAGAACAUAGCGUGAUGAUGAUUUCAGAAGAAGUAAGUGCUAUGAUUAAAGGAGAAACUCCAACAAAGAGACCAGAUCCUGGUACUUUUGUCCUAGAUUGUAAAAUAGAAAACACGCGUUUUCCUAGAUCAUUGUGUGACCUCGGCUCUAGCGUGAACCUUAUGCCUUACUCUGUUGCAGUAACGUUAGGAUAUAAAGAGUUUAUGCCAACUCCGAUCACCCUGGUUUUAGCUGAUAGAUCUAUUAGGGUACCCGAAGGAAUUCUCGAAGAUGUUCCCAUAAAGAUUAACGAUUGCAUCGUGCCUACGGAUUUUGUUGUGUUAAAUAUAGACAAGAACCCAAAGACCCCUCAUUUUGGUCGGCCAUUCCUAGCUACAGCUGGAGCAAUCAUUGACGUCAAAGAAGGACGAAUUAAUUUGAAAUAGGGGAUAUCUCGAUGACUUUUGAUAUGGAAAAACUGAUUAAGCGACCCCUAAUAGAUGACCAGGCCUUCUACGUGGAAAAAGUUUCUGAGGAUGAAAAAGACUCUUUCAUAAACAUGUGUUCAGACAACCCCUUAGAAGACACCCUUAACCACGUGGAAAAUGAAAUUUUCAGCAUAUCAGAUAGGACAGACGAUUACGUGCGACUAAUGGACGUUAGCAUAGAAGUUGCAAACGUAGAAGAAAAUGAUGACUCACCAAAGGUAGAAUUAAAACCUCUACCUAGCGGUCUUAAGUACGGUUACCUUUAUGACCAGUCCUACCCUGUUAUCGUCAACGCCAAUCUCACUAGCGGAGAACUUGCUUUAUUACUGAAUAAAUUACGCAAGUACAGGAAAGCGAUCGGGUAUUCUCUCGAUGACAUUCCUGGAAUCUGUCCCGAUCUUUGCAUGCAUCGAAUCAACUUGGAAGAUGACGCUAAAACGUCAAUAGAGCAGCAGAGGAGAUUGAAUCCGAAUCUAAAGGAAGUAGUUAAAAAGGAAAUUAUAAAACUCCUUGAUGCUGGAGUUAUUUACCCUAUUUCGGAUAGCAAAUGGGUAAGCCCCGUAGAUGUUGCACCCAAAAAGUAUGGUAUCACUGUAGUGAAGAAUGAAAAGAACGAACUCAUUCCGACUCCUACCGUUACUGGUCAUCGGAUGUGUAUUGAUUAUAGGAAACUGAAUGCCGCUACUAGGAAAGACCAUUUUCUCCUUCCCUUUAUUGAUCAGAUGCUGGAGAGAUUAGCUAAUCACCAGUAUUACUGUUUUCUUGAUGGAUAUUCCUGACUUUUCCAAAUUCCUAUACACCCGGAUGAUCAAGAAAAAACAACGUUUACAUGCCCCUAUGGAACUUUCGCAUAUCGCAGAAUGUCAUUUGGUCUUUGUAAUGCCCCGCCACUUUCCAAUGUUGCAUGAUGUCAAUCUUUACAGAUAUGAUCGAGGACUUCAUGGAAGUAUUCAUGGAUAACUUUUCUGUCUACGGAUCAGAUUUUAAGAGUUGCCUCGUUAAUUUAUGAAAAGUAUUGGAAAGAUGCGAAGAAAAGAACCUUGUCCUCAACUGGGAAAAAUGCCGUUUCAUGGUUAACGAUGGAAUAGUGUUAGGACAUAGGGUUUCUGCUGCUGGUAUAGAGGUAGAUAGAGCUAAGAUUGAAGUAAUGACCAGUUUACCUCCACCCAAAACUGUUAAAGACGUACGAAAUUUUCUCGGACACGCCGGUUUUUACAGGAGAUUUAUACUGGACUUCAGCAAAAUCGCUAAACCUCUAAAUAACCUUUUAUGCAAGGAUAUUAAAUUCGAUUUUACUGCUGAAUGCAUGAAAGCUUUUGAAGAUUUAAAGAAAUCCCUUAUCACUGCCCCCGUCGUACAAGCCCCCGACUGGAAUCUUCCUUUCAAAAUCAUGUGCGAUGCGAUCGAUUUCGCAAUUGGAGCAGUUUUAGGCCAAAGGAAACAUAAAAAGCUACAUGCCAUUUACUACGCCAGCCGCAUGCUUGAUGAAGCGCAACGGAAUUACACAACAACAGAAAAAGAACUAUUAGCUGUAGUUUACGCUUUUGAAAAAUUCCGUCAAUACUUGAUUGGCUCACGAGUGAUAGUUCACACUGAUCACGCUGCCAUCAAAUAUUUAAUGCAAAAGAAAGAUGCUAAACCUCGACUCAUAAGCUGGAUUCUACUACUCCAAGAGUUUGACAUUGAGAUUAAGGAUAAGAGAAAAGUAGAUAAUGGAGUCGCUGACCAUCUUUCCCGGAUAAGAAUAGAGGAUGAUGUCCCUAUAGACGACUUCUUCCCCACAGAGAAUGUUGCACACAUAGAUACAUCUUUCGUCGGUCAAAUAUCUCUCACAUCUGAAGAUCUAUCGAUCGAUGAGAGAGAUGGCAUAUCGGUCGAUUCACGUAAUGAUACAUCGAUCGAUGACGAGACUGAUGUAACUUCUCAACUCUCCAAUAACCAAGAUCACGAACCCCCGUCUAUUAAAAUAACCUUUGAUUUACAAGUUAAUGUUUCCGGUGAUGAGAUUAAUCUCACACCUGAGGAAUUAUCACAACGGGAGGUAGACGCGAUUGGUAGAAACUCGAAUAACCGACCCUGGUAUGCCGACAUAGUUAACUAUUUGGCAGAUGAGGUUGAGCCAGACGAACUCAAGGGAUAUAUGAGGAAGAAAUUUUUCAGAGAAGUAAGACGCUAUCAUUGGGAUGAACCUUACCUCUAUAAGCAUUGUUCUGAUGGCAUAUACAGACGAUGCGUAUCCAAAGCUGAAAUUCCAGACAUUAUUUACCAAUGUCACGAAGCUGAUUAUGCAGGAUAUUUCGCUACCUUUAAAACGGUUUCGAAAAUUCUCCAAGCAGGAUUUUGGUGGCCGACCACUUUUCACGAUGUCCACGCAUUUAUAACCCAAUGUGACAGAUGCCAAAGAUGCGGAAAAAUAAACAAAAGACACUAAAUGGAACAGAAGUUCAUUUUUGAAGUUGAAGUAUUUGAUUGCUGGGGUAUCGAUUUUAUGGGACCCUUCCCGUCUUCAUAUGGAAACAAAUAUAUACUAGUCGCUGUAGACUACGUAUCCAAAUGGGUCGAAGCAGUAGCUUCUCCUACCAAUGACGCAUCUGUGGUUAUUAAACUCUUCAAGAGUAUAAUCUUUCCGAGAUUUGGAGUUCCAAGAGUAGUCAUUAGUGACAGUGGAACUCAUUUCAUUAACAAAAUCUUUGAUAGAUUGCUUAAAAAGAAUGGUGUUCAUCAUAGAGUAGCCACACCAUACCACCCACAAACCAGUGGACAAGUAGAAGUCUCUAACCGGCAAAUUAAGGAAAUCUUAGAAAAAACCGUAGGAACCUCCAGAAAAGAUUGGUCUAGGAAACUAGAUAAUGCACUUUGGGCCUACAGGACCGCCUACAAAACGCCGUUAGGAACAACACCAUUCCACCUCCUUUAUGGCAAAUCAUGUCAUUUACCAGUCGAAAUGGAACACAAAGCGGCUUGAGCUACCAAACUUUUGAACUUUGAUAUCAAACCAGCUGCAGAAAGGAGACUCAUCCAGCUUAACGAGCUUGAUGAAAUCAGACAUUUAGCUUUCUAAAAUUCGAAAAUUUAUAAAGAUCAUAUCCCGGUACUUCGAACCGGAUGAUCAAGUCCUCCUUUAUAACUCUAGAUUAACUUUAUUUCUUGGAAAGCUAAAAUCCCGUUGGUCUGGACCCUUCACCGUAACAAACGUUCAACCCUCUGGAGCUAUCACCUUACAAAAUGAUAAAGGCCAGAAAUUUACAGUGAAUGGCCAACGAGUUAAGCAUUAUUGGGAAAAACCACCAGCAAAAGCGCCCAUGGUCCUCGACCGACCCAUCCUAAAGAAGCUCGGGAUCGAGGGAGAUAUUCAGGACAUGAUCACACAGCUAGGACUCGGCACCAUGCCCUCUCGCGCUUACGACCUCUACCCCGAUCUCGUCCGCCAGUUCAUGGCCACUGUUGAGGUCACCUACAGGACUUCAUCAGCGAGGGUAGCGGGAGAUGGUACUUUGACCUUCUUCGCCAGAGGGACACGCUACAGGAUCACUAUCACCGAGCUCUGCCGCAUCUACGGUUUCGAUGAGAGCGUCGCCUCCUACACGGUCCCACCUUUCCCUCACCUCGAGAGAUUCUGGGACAUCGCCGGCACAGGAGUUUGGGACACAAACAGGGCCGUGCUAUCAGACAUCUGCCAUCCUGCACUUCGCUACUUCCUACGGCUGCUUGCAAACAUACUGGUUUGCAAGAUGGAGUCAAACAAGGUCAGGAUAAAGGAGCUCACAUUACUUUUCUGCGCAGUGAAUGGCGUGGUGGAUUUGGUUAAGUUGAAUGAGGAUGGCGAAGUAAGCCCGCCGAACCUCGGAGCUGUCUUUGCCGCGCACUUGGUAGAGUUGAAGAAGAAGCCCUUCAACGGCAAGGGUAAGACGAAGGAGACAGUUGGGAGUCUUCUGACCCCGAUUUUCCAGUACCUCGGCAUCCGCCUCGACCCUCACUCUGCCGACCGUGACCACACCUUCCUCGACGAGCAGUACUUGGUGCACUCGCUAUGGCUCGAGGAAGGGAAACUCGGCGUUUCAGGAUCCGCGAUGAGCAUCGCCUUCUACCCCUACCGGAUAGGAGGAUCACUGAUUUCGGAAACAUCAUGGAGCAUCUUCGAUGCAUGCCAGACGAGGCAUUCCUCCGCAACCCCCCGGAAUAUGUCACGCCGACCUCCCAGCAUUCGCCGUACCAAAGCUCAGGACGCACAGGCACCGCCUCUCCCCGACUUCCCGAACAUACCGGAUAUCCCCAUGCACGACCAGGGAGACAUUCAGAGGUUCGUUGUGGACGCUCUUAAGGCAAUCUGGGCUAGAGUGUCUUAUCGGAGCAGGAGAGCUACAGGAGCGCAUGCACCAGCACCAGCAGCAGCACGCAGGGACCCUUCCCCGGAGUACGAUGAGGCGACUAACGAGGACACCGACUAGUCAUCAUAUCUCUAUCUCUUAUCUUCCUAUUAUGAACUUGUUUAUUUAUUUUCUGAACUUGUAGGAUUUAUGUUCUUAAACUUAUAUUUUAUGUCUGAGAAUGAUUAUUAUUUCUUAUGCUUGGAUGUCUAACAGAGCUAACAUUAGGCAGGAACUUCAAGUUCGACUCCAAGCACAUGCAAAAUAUUUGUGCUUCGCCAUCGAUCGAUUUGGAGAGGAUUACAUCGAUCGAUUCUCGGCGAGUAACAUCGAUCGAUAUGGAGAGGAUUACAUCGAUCGAAGUGUAGUACGGAUAGGUACGUCAUUUUUACUCUAACAUUCUCAAACAUCUAACUUGCUUUUAAACUACCCUUGGGCACUUUGCACCGAGACGGUGCAAUUUAAGUCUGGGGGAGGUAGUUACUAACACCACUUUCUUGAGUUUUUGUCAAAAAUCUUUUCAAAAAUAAUUUUAUUGAGUCAAGAAGGGGAUUAUGAACUAAUGAUUUCUACCUGAAUGUCUAACCACUUACUAGCACCAUUCUAGAUUUACUGAUUGCAGAUAAUACUAUAGAUGCUAAAGUGGAUCAACCAGUCAACUAUACACGCAUGCUAGCUUGUUAGAAAGAACCAAAGCUAACCUCCAACACUAACCUGACUUCACUGCUUGUCUUGGGGUUUGGUAUACAUGGGAUCGGAUUCUUCAGACAAGUCUGGAAGGUAAAGCCUUGUGUAGUAAUUAAUAUAUCACAUUCCUCUCUCUAAUUUCGACCCUAGAUUAAUUAGUAAUUAAUAUUUCUAUUCUAGAAUUUUUUUUUUUUUAAAAAAGAUCUAUUGUUUAUUUAGGAUGAGUCUGAACAGGACUUGGUGGCUAAAAUCAUUAAGGCUUGAUUCAUAAUAGACUCCGAUAAAAGAGUUCGAAACGGGACUUGGAGGCGGCAAUCUUCAAGGCUCGCUUUCGCAAAGAACUCUUGGAUAUAGGUCAAAAAGAAGUGAACAGAGCUUGGUGGCAACCACCAUUAAGUUUUGAUUCAUGGAAGCCUGUCCAAUCUUGGUCACCGAUCCUGCAAUGGAAGCAGACUUUGACUCAAGAGAAAAAUUAGA
rnacentral:lncRNA from 1 species